CCUACGGGGUGCAGCAGUGGGGAAUAUUGCACAAUGGGGGAAACCCUGAUGCAGCGACGCCGCGUGAGUGAAGAAGUAUUUCGGUAUGUAAAGCUCUAUCAGCAGGGAAGAAAAUGACGGUACCUGACUAAGAAGCCCCGGCUAACUACGUGCCAGCAGCCGCGGUAAUACGAAGGGGGCAAGCGUUAUCCGGAUUUACUGGGUGUAAAGGGAACGUAGACGGCAGAGCAAGUCUGAAGUGAAAGCCCGCGGCUCAACUGGGGUACUGCUUUGGAAACUGGCCGGAUAGAGUGCAGGAGAGGUAAGCGGAAUUCCUAGUGUAGCGGUGAAAUGCGUAGAUAUUAGGAGGAACACCAGUGGCGAAGGCGGCUUACUGGACAGUAACUGACGUUGAGGCUCGAAAGCGUGGGGAGCAAACAGGAUUAGAUACCCGAGUAGUC
rnacentral:rRNA from 1 species